rnacentral:rRNA from 1 species
UCGAGAAUUUUUCACAAUGGGCGAAAGCCUGAUGGAGCGACGCCGCGUGGGGGAUGAAUGGCUUCGGCCCGUAAACCCCUGUCAUUCGCGAUCAAACCUUAUUAUUUAAAAGAUGAUAAGCUGAUAGUAGCGGAAGAGGAAGGGACGGCUAACUCUGUGCCAGCAGCCGCGGUAAUACAGAGGUCCCAAGCGUUGUUCGGAUUCACUUGGCGUAAAGGGUGCGUAGGUGGUGACGUAAGUCGGAUGUGAAAGCUCGGAGCUCAACUCCGAAAUGGCAUUGGAAACUGCGUGGCUAGAGGGUCGGAGGGGGGACGGGAAUUCUCGGUGUAGCAGUGAAAUGCGUAGAUAUCGAGAGGAACACCAGUGGCGAAGGCGAGUCCCUGGACGACUCCUGACACUGAGGCACGAAAGCUAGGGGAGCAAACA